rnacentral:tRNA from 1 species
UCUAGUGUAGCUCAGUGGCAGAGCACUUGCCUAGCAUGAUUAAGUCCCUUGGUUCAAUCCCUAGCACAAAAA